rnacentral:rRNA from 1 species
GAAGAAAGAGGGAGGCGUGCCUAAUACAUGCAAGUAGAACGCUGAAGGAGGAGCUUGCUUCUCCGGAUGAGUUGCGAACGGGUGAGUAACGCGUAGGUAACCUGCCUGGUAGCGGGGGAUAACUAUUGGAAACGAUAGCUAAUACCGCAUAACAGUAGAUAUUGCAUGAUAUCUGCUUGAAAGGUGCAAUUGCAUCACUACCAGAUGGACCUGCGUUGUAUUAGCUAGUUGGUGAGGUAACGGCUCACCAAGGCGACGAUACAUAGCCGACCUGAGAGGGUGAUCGGCCACACUGGGACUGAGACACGGCCCAGACUCCUACGGGAGGCAGCAGUAGGGAAUCUUCGGCAAUGGACGGAAGUCUGACCGAGCAACGCCGCGUGAGUGAAGAAGGUUUUCGGAUCGUAAAGCUCUGUUGUAAGAGAAGAACGAGUGUGAGAGUGGAAAGUUCACACUGUGACGGUAUCUUACCAGAAAGGGACGGCUAACUACGUG